GUGCAGCAGGCGAGAAACCUCCGCAAUGCGGGAAACCGCGACGGGGGACCCGAGUGCCGUGGCAACGCCACGGCUUUUCCGGAGUGUAAAAGCUCCGGGAAUAAGGGCUGGGCAAGGCCGGUGGCAGCCGCCGCGGUAAUACCGGCGGCCCGAGUGGUGGCCGCUAUUAUUGGGCCUAAAGCGUCCGUAGCCGGGCCCGUAAGUCCCUGGCGAAAUCCCACGGCUCAACCGUGGGGCUUGCUGGGGAUACUGCGGGUCUUGGGACCGGGAGAGGCGGGGGGUACCCCUGGGGUAGGGGUGGAAAUCCUAUAAUCCCCAGGGGGACCGCCAGUGGCGAAGGCGCCCCGCUGGAACGGGUCCGACGGUGAGGGACGAAGG
rnacentral:rRNA from 1 species